rnacentral:rRNA from 1 species
UACGUAGGGUGCGAGCGUUGUCCGGAAUUAUUGGGCGUAAAGAGCUUGUAGGCGGUUUGUCGCGUCUGCUGUGAAAAUCCGAGGCUCAACCUCGGACUUGCAGUGGGUACGGGCAGACUAGAGUGUGGUAGGGGAGACUGGAAUUCCUGGUGUAGCGGUGGAAAUGCGCAGAUAUCGAGGAGGAACACCGGUGGCGAAGGCGGAUCUCUGGGCCAUAACUGACGCUGGAGGAGCGAAAAGCAUGGGGAGCGAACAGG